GAUGAAGAACGUAGCGAAAUGCGAUAAGUAAUGUGAAUUUCAGAAUUCAGUGAAUCAUCGAAUCUUUGAACGCACAUUGCGCCCGCUAGUAUUCUGGCGGGCAUGCCUGUCCGAGCGUCAUUUCAACCCUCAAGCCCCCGGGCUUGGUGUUGGGGAUCGGCGAGCCUCCGCGCCCGCCGUCCCCUAAAUCUAGUGGCGGUCUCGCUGUAGCUUCCUCUGCGUAGUAGCACACCUCGCACUGGGAAACAGCGCGGCCACGCCGUUAAACCCCCAACUUCUGAACGUUUGACCUCGGAUCAGGUAGGAAUACCCGCUGAACUUAAGCAUAUCAAUAAGCGGAGGA
rnacentral:misc_RNA from 1 species